CCCUCAUCCCUGGAAGGACAUGGCUCCCUGGGGAACAUCAUGCAGCUGAAGGCACAGGACAUGAUGGCCUGGAUCUUAACAGAUACAUCAAAACAGAGGAAGAGGGACAGAAUGUGUGUACAAUUCACUUGCCUGAUUGCCCAGAGAAAUGAAGUUUUGGAUGAUGAAAUUGAGACCAGCUGUUGAGAGAACAGGAAACUAAAAGAACCUGAAUGAAGGGGAAGGCAGAUGUCAGCAUUGAGGAGAAAACUGUCCAAUUUCUACAGGAAGAGAGUCAAGACAGCAGACAAUCUGGAGCAUCAGAGAAUAUCUUGAAUUGGAAGGGACCCACAAAGACCAUCAAGUUCAACUCCUGGCCCUGCACACAACACCCCAAGAGACACACCUGUGCCUGAGAGCAUUGACCAAAGGCUCCAUGAGCUCUGUCAGCCUUGGUGCUGUGACCGCUGCCCUGGGGAGCGCGUUCCAGUGCCCAGCAACUGAAGAACCUUUUCCUGAUAUCCAACCUAAACCUCCCCUGACACAGCUUCAGGCCAUUCCCUCGAGUCCUGUCACUGGGCACCAGAGAGAAGAGAUCAGUGCCUGCCCCUUCUUUUAUGACAAGCUUCUCUGAAACUUGUCCUGUGCCAACUACCAGUCAAAAAGACAAAGAGCUUCAGGGUUUCUGUCAGAGUCUUUCCAUCUUGCUUACCUUUGGUCAACCUUGCCAGAACUGAAUAUUCCCAAGAUUUUUAGCCUCUCCUCCCCCUGCCAAUU